rnacentral:rRNA from 1 species
AGAGUUUGAUCCUGGCUCAGGACGAACGCUGGCGGCGCGCCUAACACAUGCAAGUCGAACGAGAGAUGAGGAGCUUGCUCUUCAAAUCGAGUGGCGAACGGGUGAGUAACGCGUGAGGAACCUGCCUCAAAGAGGGGGACAACAGUUGGAAACGACUGCUAAUACCGCAUAAGCCCACGGCUCGGCAUCGAGCAGAGGGAAAAGGAGUGAUCCGCUUUGAGAUGGCCUCGCGUCCGAUUAGCUAGUUGGUGAGGUAACGGCCCACCAAGGCGACGAUCGGUAGCCGGACUGAGAGGUUGAACGGCCACAUUGGGACUGAGACACGGCCCAGACUCCUACGGGAGGCAGCAGUGGGGGAUAUUGCGCAAUGGGGGAAACCCUGACGCAGCAACGCCGCGUGAAGGAUGAAGGUUUUCGGAUUGUAAACUUCUUUUAUUUAGGACGAAGAAUGACGGUACUAAAUGAAUAAGCUCCGGCUAACUACGUGCCAGCAGCCGCGGUAAUACGUAGGGAGCAAGCGUUAUCCGGAUUUACUGGGUGUAAAGGGUGCGUAGGCGGCUUGGUAAGUCAGAUGUGAAAUGUAUGGGCUCAACCCAUGCACUGCAUUUGAAACUAUUGAGCUUGAGUGAAGUAGAGGUAGGCGGAAUUCCCUGUGUAGCGGUGAAAUGCGUAGAGAUAGGGAGGAACACCAGUGGCGAAGGCGGCCUACUGGGCUUUAACUGACGCUGAGGCACGAAAGCGUGGGUAGCAAACAGGAUUAGAUACCCUGGUAGUCCACGCUGUAAACGAUGAUUACUAGGUGUGGGGGGUCUGACCCCUUCCGUGCCGGAGUUAACACAAUAAGUAAUCCACCUGGGGAGUACGACCGCAAGGUUGAAACUCAAAGGAAUUGACGGGGGCCCGCACAAGCAGUGGAGUAUGUGGUUUAAUUCGACGCAACGCGAAGAACCUUACCAAGUCUUGACAUCCUGCGACGCACAUAGAAAUAUGUGUUUCCUUCGGGACGCAGAGACAGGUGGUGCAUGGUUGUCGUCAGCUCGUGUCGUGAGAUGUUGGGUUAAGUCCCGCAACGAGCGCAACCCUUGUCAUUAGUUGCUACGAAAGGGCACUCUAAUGAGACUGCCGGUGACAAACCGGAGGAAGGUGGGGAUGACGUCAAGUCCUCAUGGCCCUUAUGGCUAGGGCCUCACACGUCAUACAAUGGUCGGAACAGAGGGAAGCGAAGCCGCGAGGUGAAGCCAAUCCCAGAAAACCGAUCGUAGUCCGGAUUGCAGUCUGCAACUCGACUGCAUGAAGUCGGAAUCGCUAGUAAUCGCGGAUCAGCAUGCCGCGGUGAAUACGUUCCCGGGUCUUGUACACACCGCCCGUCACACCAUGGGAGUCAGUAACGCCCGAAGUCAGUGACCCAACCGUAAGGAGGGAGCUGCCGAAGGUGGGACCGAUAACUGGGGUGAAGUCGUAACAAGGUAGCCGUAUCGGAAGGUGCGGCUG